rnacentral:rRNA from 1 species
UACGUAGGGUGCGAGCGUUGUCCGGAAUUAUUGGGCGUAAAGAGCUCGUAGGCGGUCUGUCGCGUCUGCUGUGAAAACCCGAAGGCUCAACCUCGGGCUUGCAGUGGGUACGGGCAGACUAGAGUGCGGUAGGGGAGAAUGGAAUUCCUGAUGUAGCGGUGGAAUGCGCAGAUAUCAGGAGGAACACCGAUGGCGAAGGCAGUUCUCUGGGCCGUAACUGACGCUGAGGAGCGAAAGCGUGGGGGAGCGAACAGG